rnacentral:rRNA from 1 species
GAGUUUGAUCAUGGCUCAGGAUGAACGCUGGCGGCGUGCCUAAUACAUGCAAGUCGAACGAGGUGCUUUUUGUAGCAAUACGAGGAGUAUCCUAGUGGCGAACGGGUGAGUAAAAAAAAAGUGACCUACCCCAAAGUGUGGAAUAACAGUCCGAAAGGAUUGCUAAUGCCGCAUGUGGUCUGCGAGUUUAGAAAUCGUUGACUAAAGGAGCAAUCCGCUUUGGGAGGGACCUGCGUCCCAUCAGCUAGUUGGCGAGGUAACGGCUCACCAAGGCGACGACGGGUAGGGGACCUGAGAGGGUGGCCCCCCACAAUGGAACUGAAACACGGUCCAUACACCUACGGGUGGCAGCAGUAGGGAAUAUUGCACAAUGGGCGAAAGCCUGAUGCAGCAACGCCGCGUGCGCGAUGAAGG